AUACGGAGGACGCGAGCGUUAUCCGGAUUCAUUGGGUUUAAAGGGUGCGUAGGCUGUUCGGAAAGUCAGGGGUGAAAGCCCGGCGCCUAACGCCGGAACUGCCUUUGAUACUUCCGAGCUGGAAUACGGAUGCCGUGGGAGGAAUGAGUAGUGUAGCGGUGAAAUGCAUAGAUAUUACUCAGAACACCGAUUGCGAAGGCAUCUCACGAAUCCGUCAUUGACGCUGAGGCACGAAAGCGUGGGGAUCAAACAGGAUUAGAUACCCUGGUAGUCCACGCAGUAAACGAUGAUGACUAACCGUCGGCGAUACACAGUCGGUGGCCAAGCGAAAGCGAUAAGUCAUCCACCUGGGGAGUACGUUCGCAAGAAUGAAACUCAAAUGAAUUGACGGGG
rnacentral:rRNA from 1 species